GCUAUAAGCAGCUUCAGUUCAUCAAGCGUCUUCCUCUAUAUAAAUGAUUUGCCGCCGUUGGAAAUCGAUAAGGAGCACCGUGUCUUCACUGUGAACUUCAAUGUAAAGGGGAAAAGUUCACCCUAACAAACUCAGACCAGCCCAUAACUGAAGAGUCCCAAACAAAACCUCACAGGCCCACAGCUCCAUCACACUGGUAACGUUUCCAGAGGGAAAGAUGCGCCUGAUGUAGUUGAAGUCACCGACGAACAGGCUGCCAUCAGAUCCACAGGCGAGGGCCACGGGAGCCAGCAGUUUGUUGCCAUCGGCCUGGCCAU